rnacentral:rRNA from 1 species
CCCUUAGAUGUUCUGGGCUGCACGCGCGCUACACUGAUGCACUCAACGAGUUUACGACCUUGCCCGAUAGGGUUGGGUAAUCUUUUUAAAAUGCAUCGUGAUGGGGAUAGAUUAUUGCAAUUAUUAAUCUUCAACGAGGAAUUCCUAGUAAGCGCGAGUCAUCAGCUCGUGCUGAUUACGUCCCUGCCCUUUGUACACACCGCCCGUCGCUCCUACCGAUUGAGUGCUCAGGUGAAUAAUUCGGACUGCAGCAAUGUUUGGAUCCCGAACGUUGCAGCGGAAAGUUUAGUGAACCUUAUCACUUAGAGGAAGGAGAAGCCGUAACA